AAUACGGAGGAUGCAAGCGUUAUCCGGAAUGAUUGGGCGUAAAGAGCUCGUAGGCGGUCUGUCGCGUCUGCUGUGAAAACGUGGGGCUCAACCCCGCGCGUGCAGUGGGUACGGGCAGACUGGAGUGCAGUAGGGGAGACUGGAAUUCCUGGUGUAGCGGUGAAAUGCGCAGAUAUCAGGAGGAACACCGGUGGCGAAGGCGGGUCUCUGGGCUGUUACUGACGCUGAGGAGCGAAAGCGUGGGGAGCGAACAGGAUUAGAUACCCUGGUAGUCCACGCCGUAAACGUUGGGCGCUAGGUGUGGGUCCCAUUCCACGGGGUCUGUGCCGCAGCUAACGCAUUAAGCGCCCCGCCUGGGGAGUACGGCCGCAAGGCUAAAACUCAAAGGAAUUGACGGGGCCCCGCACAAGCGGCGGAGCAUGCGGAUUAAUUCGAUGCAACGCGAAGAACCUUACCAAGGCUUGACAUGCACGGUAAUCCGGUAGAGAUACCGGGUCCGCAAGGGAUCGUGCACAGGUGGUGCAUGGUUGUCGUCAGCUCGUGUCGUGAGAUGUUGGGUUAAGUCCCGCAACGAGCGCAACCCUCGUUUUUAGUUGCCAGCAUUAAGUUGGGCACUCUAGAGAGACUGCCGGUGACAAACCGGAGGAAGGUGGGGAUGACGUCAAGUCAGCAUGCCCCUUACGUCCUGGGCUACACACGUACUACAAUGCUACGGACAAAGGGCAGCAAGCAUGCGAAUGCAAGCAAAUCCCAGAAACCGUGGCUCAGUUCAGAUUGCAGGCUGCAACUCGCCUGCAUGAAGUUGGAAUCGCUAGUAAUCGCAGGUCAGCACUACUGCGGUGAAUACGUUCCCGGGCCUUGUACACACCGCCCGUCAAGGCGAAUUCGUUU
rnacentral:rRNA from 1 species